ensembl:lncRNA
UAUGCUGGCAACACUGAUAGGCAUUGAGUAUGCACUCCAUACUAAAACUGGGGGAAUAAAGACGUGAACGGGGUUUGUUUUCCCCGAGUUGCAAAGACUUGACAGAAAAGGUUUUUAAAACAGAUGUAUUAAUAUUCUGGUUGCAGGGGAGUCAGCAAUCAAAGCAAAGAAGCCCAGAGCUGCCUCUUCUCAUUCACCACAUUCAGAUCUUCUGUUCUGUUCCCAAACAAUCCGAGACCCCUUUGGAGGAAGUUUAUUCUUUUGGUCACAGCUCAUGGCCAUAGGUGAGAUUGGGAAUGCAGCUCAACAGUAAAUCAGCAGCUUUGCCUUCUCACUUUACCGCAACAAACUGGUCCACAUCCAUAUCACUGCAGAUGCUGCACCAAUUCAUCCUUCAAUCUCACGCUACUUUCUUUCCAUACUCCUGAACACGACCCCAAGAUACUUGCACUCCUCCACUUGGGGAAAGCAACUCCUCCCUAAUAGGACUCUAUCCUCUUCGGGCUGAGAACCGUGACCUCAGAUAUGGAGGUGCUAACUCUCAUCCCAGCCGCUUCGCACCUGGUUGCAAACCACCCCAGUGCAAGGUGGAGGUCACCUUUCAGUGAAGCCAACAUGGCGACAUCGUCCGCAAAAAAUCAGGCGAGCAGAUCUGGAGGUCAGCAAAUGUAUGAACCAAAUCUGUGACAAGGGGCAGCCUUGGCAGAAUCCAGUACUCAUCAGGAACGAGUCUGACUUGUUUCCAGUAAUUUGAGCCAUGCUCUCAGUGUGGCUGUGCAUGAACUGAAAGGCCUGUGAAAACAUACUGAUACCCCACACUCCUUAAGCACCCACCACAGGGCACCCAAGGGAUGCAGCUGGAUGCCUUCUCUAACACUCAGAGAUUGCUUGGAUCAAUUCCCACGCACCCUGAAGUAUCACUGAGAAGGUACAGAGCUACUGCAGUGUUUUGUGACCGGGAAAAAGACUGUUGAAAUUUUCCUCCCAAAUUUGUGGUUCAGGAUUUACUUAAAAUCAAAAGUAAUGCAAAUACAGGGACAAUAUCUCGUAGGAUCACCUUUGUGCUCUAUUUUAAUCCCACUGUUCACCAUGUGAGUGCUGCCAUUAAACAACAAGUUAUAUCUCUCAUAAAUUUCUAGUAGGACGGAUAAUUGGUGUCAAACAGCAGUUACACAAGCAUUCCAGGGUCCUUAUGAAGGCAGAAAAUCCCCACGCUGUAAAAUAAAAUGACCACAAGGAGUACAUCAUUUCUAUAAGGCUGGCUUCACGCCGUCUGACUGCUACUCUCACACAUUUUGUCACAUAUAACAAGUCCCGAUUUUGCAACGAUGCACGAGUCUUCUGACCUGCAGUUUAAUUAUCUCCCUCAGUGCCUGAAAUUUCAUCUUGCUCGAAGAAAAAUUUGAUUAUCUUAAAAGACUGAAUAAACAGUAACUGAAUGGUCACGGUGGACACAUUUCGGCAGCUUAAUGCCGUGUGUGUGUGUUUGUUGUGAGGACACCGAGGUCACAGCAGAGGUAAUCAGACAGCUAUCACAUGCAGACAGCUCCAAAUAUCCCCAUGUUCCCCUUUCUUCGCGCUGAGAUGCACAUUUAUGUUAAUGCCACACUACUGUAGCGCAGUGUUGCCUCGGCAUCACAUUACUGGAGCGUGAUGUUCCCUGCUCCAGGGCCAAACACUCUGACUCCCUUUGUGUGUGUGUGUGUGUGUGUGUGUGUGUGUGUGUGUCUGUUUUCCAAAUCUGUUUGCAAACUGCUGAGCAGAAGCCAGGGAGUGGGUUCACACUGGAUUAGCUCUGAGUUGGCUAAAAACCAGAUAGCAGAGAUAACGGUGUGUGUGUGUGUGUGUGUGUGUGUGUGUGUGUGUGUGUGUGUGUGUGUGUGUGUGUCCACAGUGGGGAAGGGGGGAGGCAGGGUGCUGAUAUCAGCAGGAAUAGAGGCACUGAUAAGACUUUCGGGAUCUGCACUUCUAAUGGUAAUGACGGUUAGAUGUUAACGAACACGGCUGAUGUUUCCCGGCCUUUAGAGGUAAGUAUUGUUUACAGAAAGCAAAAGAAGGAAAGAUUUUCAGUGUCUUCUUAGAAUUUUCAUUUUUCUUUUAAUCCGACCAGCUCGAGUCUGACCCAGAGUUUUUUGGGAUCAGGACUUCUAAUGAUAAUGACGGUUAGAUGUAAACGAACUCGGCUGAUUUUUACGGGCCUUGAGAAACAAAUGUUGUUUACAGAAAGCAAAAGUGCCUUCAUAAAAUUUUCAUUUUUUACUUCCUCCCACCAGCUGGAGCCAAACCCAGUGGGAGGAGGCCGUCAUUUUCGCUUUUCCUCCUUUCUGCUUCCUCUGUUUCACCUUUACUCCCUUCUUUUCUCCCCAGAAUUAAACCCAUCAAGAUGAUGCCGCAUCCCCUCGUUUCGUGGGAGGGGAAGGUGAAUCCGUAAAAGGCUCUGCCUGUUCCCCAGCCGAUCGAUUGAUGUUGAAGUGUUUACCUCACAAAGGGCUGCAUAAACGGCUCGGCAGCUCGCGCUUUAUGCAGAACAUCGGGUGACUCUUUCGCAGGUCUCCAUUGAUGUUGCUUGUUUCACGCGAGAAGGAAGACGCUAAUCCCCUUGAUGUGCACCAAGCGGAGAGGAGGCACAUCCACACAUGAGACGCACACGUACCCGAGACUCAUCUUUAUGUGCAAGAGUGGAAAAAGAGACGGCUUGAGUCUCCACCAAAUCCCUAAAAGCUGUCAUUGACUUCAAACACUAUGAAUUCUUUACAGUAGAGUGCCUCUGCUGAGCGACAGAGCUGUCUGCCUUUAUUUUUCCAUAGGAUCCUUUUGAUACGGCCUCAGCCGUCCAGAAUCUGUGCCUCAUUGUAUAAGGACCAAGGCUAUUUAAAUUCGCCUGAAAGGAAGCCGGAACAGGGACAGUCACACUGACGCCUCGUCAGACUGAAACUUUUAUGGAAUUCCUGAAGAUGAGAAAACAGAUUUCAGUCAACGUUACAUAUUCACAUGGCAGAAAGAGAAACUGUGACUACACUACGCAUCACUCCACUGAAUGAUCAUUUACCAACUUAAACGGCAAAUUCAUUUUCAUGAAGCAUGUGUAAUUUAUGAGUGGCGUGGGAUUGCGAGCGUCUAUCAGUGUCAGAGUGACACGUGUGGGGCGAUAAUCUAUUCCGUGACCCAAAUUUAUGCGGCGAAAAUCUACAAAAACCGCUAUCCAGCCCUCCCAUCCGAUUUCACAGCGCAUCACUGUCAGCGCGAUAUAUGCUGCGCACGCUUGUGUGUGUGCGCGCGCCUCUGAAGGAGAGGCGCAUGAUAAAAGGAGCGUGUUAUCCAUCUUAUCCAGACGAGAUGUUUUGAAAGGAAUUCUGUUAUUAAUAAAUUCAUGAGAGCCAAAAGAAAAAGGAACAUUCUGCGGCUUUGCAAAAAUUAUUGAAAGAAAAAAAAUGGUGGGGGGGAUGUGCGCUCCUUGUUAGCAUUCUCUUAGACACUAGAUGCGCUAGGAGGUAUGUUCUCAUUGAGAGGCAUAUUAUCUCUGGUCAGCUUUCCUAUCUAUUAUUCACAGCUCUGUGAGAAACACUGGUGGCUAGACGAACAGCAGUCACUUACAAUAUAUCCCGGAGCAACGGCGCCCCUAUUCAUGUGCAAAAGAAACCUUAAUAACCACGGCCGCAGAUAGAGGAGAGGCUGUGAAGUUGGCAAAAGCUUGUGAUUGCUUUGAUUUCCAGGACUUCUGUGGAUUCAACACAAACAAGAUUUAAACCAUAAAAAAGGGCCGAUUUUUCUAAUGUAAUAUUCACUGGCAGGUAAUGUAUGGGUAUUGUGUAGUGGAGAUGUCCAAUAAAAGGGAAUCUUAUUUGUGCUUCUCUCUUUUUUUUGUCAUCUGUUAUAAUCUGCAGCUGACUUUACAGACAACAAACAACUCGUGCAGCUUAGCGCUUUAUUGAAAACCUGCAGGACAAUGAAGGAGAGCGCCAGUCCUACGCGUCCACUGGUGUCCAAGGGAUGAUUGAGGAUUGGUGCUUGAAAUGUUAAUAAAUUGAAGGGGGAAAUUGCCUCGUGUUUAUCUGUAAUAUGAAAAAAACACCUCUGCUGUGAUCCCCCUCGCCGCAUGCUCUAAGCUUCUAAACACACCGAGUGGCAUUUCAAAUGCAAAUUCCCCAUUGUGCGUUAGCUUAUUAGAUAAUAUGUAAACACAAUAUGUGCCAUGCAUGUGGAGGAUGAAAUAUGUGACUCCACACUGUCGAACACAUCAUUUUUUGUGAGACUGAUUGUUAUAUAAUGUAAGCAAGCCUCAAUUUUACAUAUAAGGUUGAGCCAUGUUGGUGUCUACCUUUGAUGAAAAGUUUUUAAAUAAACAGUGUUCCUACAACUGCUAGCUUAUGAGCUUUUCUAAAUCUGGUUGUAUGGAAACACAUUUGCCUUUGAGUGUUGUCUUAGCAGGGAGUGAAUAUUUAACAGACCAAAUAGUCUUUCUUUUUCUUUUUGCUUUUUAGGUACUCGGCUGCUGUCUGUUGCUAUGCAACCGCAUCCUCCAAUCCACCAAAUUGUCAGGUUCAGGGCCAAUUUCCCCUCCUCCCCCCGUUUUUCUCCCUAAAAAAAAAAGAAAUAAAAAAGACUUUGUACAUGAACUGAGGUGUGCACGGUGCAGUACCACCCCUCAGGAGUUCUCAUUUAAAUAAAUUCCAAUAUUUGAGGUCUCCCCAAAUAUUAAAAUUUUCCACAGCUGCCUUUUAUGCAUUUUUUUUCUGCCUCACCUUUGUUCAGCACACAUCCGGUUUAUUCUGCGCUCGCACGCUGGAGCCGCCUGGCAAUUUCUGCUCUUGUUCUCCCCCUUUUUCUGCUGUGUUCUUUUCAUUAAAAAUCAUUCUUCC